UUCCUCUCAAUUUUUUUUUUCAAUGGUUCUUUUCACCACAAUUGUGUGCUUCAACUUUGCCUUUCGCCACAAGCGAAUAAGGAGGGGAAAAUCCAAGUUUGUUUCUAAGGUGGUAAGUUUUCAUGUUUUCCUCAAAUAAAAAAUCAACAUAGGUUGGUUUAUUUCGUCAUGUAGGGGUGUUCAUCGAUACACUUUCGGUUAUCAAAAAUGGAAACUGACCGACCAUCAAAGUUGUUUUCCCACCGACCGACUAACAGAUGCUUCGGUCGGUCAGUUUCCGACAAAUGACCAUUGAGUAGGGCUACAGUGACAGUGUGGGCGAUUGGCGAGUGUGGUAUGUGGGUGGGGCUGCUGCGGGACUGAGCGGCGAGCAGGAUCCUGAGUUGUAGCGAGAUAGGGACAGCCGACAAAAGGAAAACACUGGUUCCUUGUACUUCUGAGAGAAGAUGGGAAGAAGGGAAAGGAGAAGGGAGAGAUGGUGGAGGAGGGGAGGACAAAAUAACCUUUAGAAGAAAGUUAUUGCAGUGGAGAAAAAGGGAAGGUAAGACAGAGGGGUGAUGGAAAAUGGGAGUGAAGAGAGAGGAAGACACAAUAUUAAACAAAAAGAAAAUAUGGGGUGGUUUUGAGAAAACCAGCCAACUCAAACUACAUGUGGUAGUGCAUGAAGAGUGGUCCAUAUUAAUGGUAGUGACGUGUGGCAGUGCAUGAGUUGACAAGUAUUGAAUGACUUUUUUUUAAUAAUAUAUGAAUAGUCGUUCGGUUUCGGUCCAGUAUCUUCUUUCUCAUUCUCCGACCGACUUACUAGUCUGUUUGCAAAAUCGAUGCUGAUCGUACUAUGGCUAAAGCCGACCGAUCAAUGUCAGUUCGAUCGGUUUUGGUCGGUUGAGGCCGUUUUUCGAUGAUGAAUGUUCACCCCUAUGUCACAGAUUUAGCAUUAAAGGACGUGUGUAUCCGGCUAUUUUUCCCGAAGAGAACAAGAGAGUUGCCGGAACGAUAUGUGACAUGUUCUUUCUUCUUUUCUAAGUUAGGCAUUUGAUUAUGUUCGUGUUCUUUUAUUUUGUUGGAUUUUUCUCAUUCUCAAUAAGAUACAUGAGCUGUUUUAAUUUUCUCCAAUGAUCAUCUUCCUCUACUAUUUUAGCUUAACAGUUAAAUUGGUCAAAAUUUUAGUGCAACAGCUCUGUGUUUAGUUAGUUCGUAGAUGAUUAAGAUUCAUUUCGAGCUGGAGUUCUAAACCAUCACCAACCACUCUAACUGCAACUCUUCAUUUAAUUCUAUAAUUUUGACAUUUGAUUUCAUUGGAGGAAUUUUCAAAUUAAAUCAAAUUGCAACCGGUCUCAUUAUGGGUUAGAAUUCAUAUCUUCGUAAGAGUGUCAAAGACUUUCUAGCUUGCCAUUUAAUCUAUAUUUUGAACAUAAACAUGGACAUGGCGUCUGGCAAGUUUUUAUCCCUAUUUUCAUUUUCAUGUCCUCUUAGGCAUCACAAUUCCUGAACUGGAUAUUUGGAUAUGCCUUGCCUGGAGUUCGAAGUCGUGGCAUGUCAUCGAAUGAUUGACUAUUUGGUGUCUAUCUCUGUUCUGACUAAUAAUUUUUUUUUUCAAGUGUGAGUUUAAAAAAAUGUGAGUUUUUAAAGUAGCAUAUGUUAGUUACCAUAUUUCUGAGUUGACUCUUGAUUUUCUUUGACGAAGUUAAUGCAAUCAUACCCAAUA